GAUGAACGCUGGCGGCGUGCCUAAUACAUGCAAGUCGAGCGAACGGACGAGAAGCUUGCUUCUCUGAUGUUAGCGGCGGACGGGUGAGUAACACGUGGAUAACCUACCUAUAAGACUGGGAUAACUUCGGGAAACCGGAGCUAAUACCGGAUAAUAUUUUGAACCGCAUGGUUCAAAAGUGAAAGACGGUCUUGCUGUCACUUAUAGAUGGAUCCGCGCUGCAUUAGCUAGUUGGUAAGGUAACGGCUUACCAAGGCAACGAUGCAUAGCCGACCUGAGAGGGUGAUCAGCCACACUGGAACUGAGACACGGUCCAGACUCCUACGGGAGGCAGCAGUAGGGAAUCUUACGCAAUGGGCGAAAGCCUGACGGAGCAACGCCGCGUGAGUGAUGAAGGUCUUCGGAUCGUAAAACUCUGUUAUUAGGGAAGAACAUAUGUGUAAGUAACUGUGCACAUCUUGACGGUACCUAAUCAGAAAGCCACGGCUAACUACGUG
rnacentral:rRNA from 1 species